UACGAAGGGGGCUAGCGUUGUUCGGAAUUACUGGGCGUAAGGCGCGUGUAGGCGGGCCGUUAAGUCGGGGGUGAAAGCCCAGAGCUCAACUCUGGAAUUGCCUUCGAUACUGGCGGCCUGGAGCAUGAUAGAGGCGAGUGGAAUUGCGAGUGUAGAGGUGAAAUUCGUAGAGAUUCGGAGGAACACCAGUGGCGAAGGCGGCUCACUGGCUCGAUUCUGACGAUGAGGUGCGAAAGAGUGGGGAGCAAACAGG
rnacentral:rRNA from 1 species